UACAGAGGUCCCAAGCGUUGUUCGGAUUCAUUGGGCGUAAAGGGUGUGUAGGUGGCGCCGUAAGUCGGGUGUGAAAUUUCGGAGCUUAACUCCGAAACUGCAUUCGAUACUGCGGUGCUUGAGGACUGGAGAGGAGACUGGAAUUCCCGGUGUAGCAGUGAAAUGCGUAGAGAUCGGGAGGAACAUCAGUUGCGAAGGCGGCUCUCUGGACCAGUACUGACGCUGAGGCACGAAAGCGUGGGGAGCAAACAGG
rnacentral:rRNA from 1 species